UACGUAGGGGGCGAGCGUUGUCCGGAUUUAUUGGGCGUAAAGAGCGUGUAGGCGGCCAGGUAGGUCUGCUGUGAAAACUCGAGGCUCAACCUCGAGACGUCGGCGGAAACCAUCUGGCUAGAGUCCGGAAGAGGAGAGUGGAAUUCCCGGUGUAGCGGUGAAAUGCGCAGAUAUCGGGAAGAACACCCGUGGCGAAGGCGGCUCUCUGGGACGGUACUGACGCUGAGACGCGAAAGCGUGGGGAGCGAUCCGG
rnacentral:rRNA from 1 species